rnacentral:rRNA from 1 species
AACGCGAAGAACCUUACCUGGGCUCGAAAUGCAGUGGACCGGGGUGGAAACAUCCCUUUUCGCAAGAACCGCUGUAUAGGUGCUGCAUGGCUGUCGUCAGCUCGUGUCGUGAGAUGUUGGGUUAAGUCCCGCAACGAGCGCAACCCUUAUCCCUAGUUGCCAUCGGGUCAAGCCGGGCACUCUAGUGAAACUGCCUCGGAUAACGAGGAGGAAGGUGGGGAUGACGUCAAGUCCUCAUGGCCUUUAUGUCCAGGGCUACACACGUGCUACAAUGGUCGGUACAAACCGUCGCAAACCCGUGAGGGGGAGCUAAUCGGAAAAAGCCGGCCUCAGUUCGGAUUGGAGUCUGCAACUCGACUCCAUGAAGCUGGAAUCGCUAGUAAUCGCGGAUCAGAACGCCGCGGUGAAUACGUUCCCGGGCCUUGUACACACCGCGUGUCU